UACGUAGGGUGCAAGCGUUAAUCGGAAUUACUGGGCGUAAAGCGUGCGCAGGCGGUUUUGUAAGUCAGAUGUGAAAUCCCCGGGCUUAACCUGGGAACUGCGUUUGAAACUACAAGGCUAGAGUGUGGCAGAGGGGGGUGGAAUUCCGCGUGUAGCAGUGAAGUGCGUAGAUAUGCGGAGGAACACCGAUGGCGAAGGCAAUCCCCUGGGCCUGCACUGACGCUCAUGCACGAAAGCGUGGGGAGCAAACAGG
rnacentral:rRNA from 1 species